ACACCCAAGAAGCUAUACCUCACGCAUCCAUCCAUGCAUCAGAAGUAUUUUGAUUACCUGAUGUCUUUGGGUUACGACAUGGUGAAGUGUUCAGCUCAUAAGACCAAUAAGAUGAGGUAUCAGAUAGCCGAGUAUGAUGUCUGCAUUGUGCUAACGCAUGCAUGACCUAUGUGUCCGCACCCGUGCGCUGUCAAUUCUAGAACCCGAGUCCCUACACGUAAACAAUCACCGCGAAAUGUUCGGGGCCAUCGCUGACCUACUGGCCCAGCAGAGUUAGCAGAGCUGAAGACACACUUCUACCACGUCCGUGUUGGGUAGAACGG
rnacentral:lncRNA from 1 species